rfam:Canis lupus familiaris chromosome 24, whole genome shotgun sequence.
GCCUGGGUGGCUCAGUGGUUGAGCAUCUGCCUUCAGCUCAGGUCGUGAUACUGGCAUCCUGGGAUCGAGUCCCACAUCAGGCU